UUCUUUCUUUCUUUCUUUCUUUCUUUCUUUCUUUCUUUCUUUCCUUCUUUCUUUCCUUCUUUCUUUCCUUUCUCUUUCUUUCUCUCCUUCCUUCCUUCUUUCCUUUCCUUUUCUUUCCUUUCCUCUUUCCUUUCUCUCUUUCUUUCUUUCUUUCUUUCUCUCCUUCCUUUCUUCCUUCUUUCCUUUCCUUUCUCUCUCUUUCUCUCCUUUCUUUCUCUCUCUCUUUCUUUCUUUCUUCCUUUCUCCCUUCCUUCCUUCAUUC
rnacentral:lncRNA from 10 species